AUGAACGCUGGCGGCGUGCCUCAUCCAUGCAAGUCGAGCGAACAGACGAGGAGCUUGCUCCUCUGACGUUAGCGGCGGACGGGUGAGUAACACGUGGAUAACCUACCUAUAAGACUGGGAUAACUUCGGGAAACCGGAGCUAAUACCGGAUAACAUGUUGAACCGCAUGGUUCAACAGUGAAAGACGGUCUUGCUGUCACUUAUAGAUGGAUCCGCGCCGCAUUAGCUAGUUGGUAAGGUAACGGCUUACCAAGGCAACGAUGCGUAGCCGACCUGAGAGGGUGAUCGGCCACACUGGAACUGAGACACGGUCCAGACUCCUACGGGAGGCAGCAGUAGGGAAUCUUCCGCAAUGGGCGAAAGCCUGACGGAGCAACGCCGCGUGAGUGAAGAAGGUCUUCGGAUCGUAAAACUCUGUUAUUAGGGAAGAACAAAUGUGUAAGUAACUAUGCACGUCUUGACGGUACCUAAUCAGAAAGCCACGGCUAACUACGUG
rnacentral:rRNA from 1 species